AACCAUUCUCACCUGCGGCUAGACCUGCGGAGGGAUCAUUACAAGUGACCCCGGUCUAACCACCGGGAUGUUCAUAACCCUUUGUUGUCCGACUCUGUUGCCUCCGGGGCGACCCUGCCUUCGGGCGGGGGCUCCGGGUGGACACUUCAAACUCUUGCGUAACUUUGCAGUCUGAGUAAACUUAAUUAAUAAAUUAAAACUUUCAACAAUGGAUCU
rnacentral:misc_RNA from 1 species